UCGUCAGCUCGUGUCGUGAGAUGUUGGGUUAAGUCCCGCAACGAGCGCAACCCUUGUCUUUAGUUGCCAUCAUUAAGUUGGGCACUCUAGAGAGACUGCCAGGGAUAACCUGGAGGAAGGUGGGGAUGACGUCAAAUCAUCAUGCCCCUUAUGCUUAGGGCUACACACGUGCUACAAUGGGUAGUACAGAGGGUUGCCAAGCCGUAAGGUGGAGCUAAUCCCUUAAAGCUACUCUCAGUUCGGAUUGUAGGCUGAAACUCGCCUACAUGAAGCUGGAGUUACUAGUAAUCGCAGAUCAGAAUGCUGCGGUGAAUGCGUUCCCGGGUCUUGUAC
rnacentral:rRNA from 1 species